CUCCCCUCCCCCGCUGUUGCUAUGGGUUGCGGUUGCUACGAGUUACCGGAUCAAGGCCGGCGAGCUGCUUUACCUGACAAACAGCCCCCGGCAGAGCCUGGGCGCAUGGAGGCGCCUGGAAGAGAUUCACGGGCGGGGAGGGAGCUGCCGCGAGAGCCCCCUGCACACACAGUCAGUCUGUGCUUGCAGCUGCAGGAAAAACUACAGCAAGUGGGGUGGGAGGGAAGAGAGGAUGAAGGCCCUGAGGAAAACGUCGUUUCAAAGAGGCAAACUUAUGAAUUGCAUCAGCAACAGAAUAUUUUGUCUGUCCAGAUACACAAGCCUCAAUAUCUUCUGGACUUAGCUGAGUCUGUAAGAAGAGGUGAAGUCUACUGUCCGAAAGCAAUAAUGCAUUUUGUAGGAUCCUUUAAAAAAAGAAAAAACACACAAUUACUAGAACAAUUUCUCUGAGGUGUCCUGCUUUUAAAUGAAUCCCAAAUUAGCUUCAGAAUGCACUGCAUAUAAUAAAAUGAUUAGUGCCAUCUGGAGGUUAAAUGAGUGAAGAAAGAGAGGAAGAAUUAGAGAAAGAUGCUCAUUGAACCAAUCCCACACAGUCCAUCUAGAAGGGAAAACAUUUAGAGUUCUUUACUAACCACUGUAAGCCAACAUGUGAGCAGUCAUAGAAGCACUCUUCACCUAGGCAUGCCCUUGGAAUGCCUGCUCUACUUUUUAAUUGAGAAAUGACAACUUUUGCUUUCUUCCUUCUGCACCAUCCGCUUAUAUUGCUUGAAGGAUGUAAUUAAAAAGCCAUCAAAAUGAAAAAUAAAGUGUCUGCACUAUUCAGUUCUAACUGUUAGUUUUUAUGUUCAAAAUAUUCAUACCUCUAAAACAAGGACAUGCAUGCUUUGUCGCCCGUUGUUAGUACUGUGGAAUAUUAUUAUUACAGUAGCACUCAGGGGCCUCAACUAGGUUGGGGCCCCAUUGUGCUAGGUGCUGUACAAGCACAUAAAAAGUGACAGUUUCUGCCCUAAAGAGCUUGCAGUCUAAAUGACAAGACAUGACAUGUAGAUGAAACAAACAACUGGGCACAAAGAAGCGGAGAAGGCAGGGGGAGGUAACAUACAAUUAGGAUGUUUUAGCACCGACUAACCAUGUGUCCAAUUUUUAGCCAACCAGCAAUUAUCACAAUGUUUGAUGAUCAGCAGCCUGUUCAUUAUAGCAAAUACCAACACAGGAACAGAUUCUGACCCCAGCUGCUCUGAUGUAAAUCUUCAGUAAAUGAGAUCAAAAUCUGGCCCACACAGUUAAUUUAUUAAAAAAAAAAAAAUCACAGCUCACACUGAUAAUUCUAGUAUCACCUGAAAAAAACUGACAUGGCAGAUUUAA